UACGGGGGGGGCAAGCGUUGUUCGGAAUUACUGGGCGUAAAGGGUUCGUAGGUGGCUUGCUAAGUCAGACGUGAAAUCCCUCGGCUCAACCGGGGAACUGCGUCUGAGACUGGCGAGCUUGAGUAUGGGAGAGGUGAGUGGAAUUCCUGGUGUAGCGGUGAAAUGCGUAGAUAUCAGGAGGAACACCUGUGGCGAAAGCGGCUCACUGGACCAUAACUGACGCUGAUGCACGAAAGCGUGGGGAGCAAACAGG
rnacentral:rRNA from 1 species